UGUCAAGGAGCCUAGUGUCCACACUGAUC
rnacentral:piRNA from 1 species